AGAGCGGGGAAUAUUGCACAAUGGGGGAAACCCUGAUGCAGCAACGCCGCGUGAGUGAUGAAGGUCUUCGGAUCGUAAAGCUCUGUCUUCAGGGACGAUAAUGACGGUACCUGAGGAGGAAGCCACGGCUAACUACGUG
rnacentral:rRNA from 1 species